rnacentral:misc_RNA from 1 species
GGAGUGUCAAGUUACUUUCACGAUUGUUUGUGACGUUUUAAAUUAAAAAAUUAAAAUUAUGUAGCAUGCUAUUACUCACCCCAAAGUUUAUGUAUCAUUGAUGAAAUUCAUCUGUCCCUUACAGUCCCAAGCACCGACCCUGUACCAAGUUGAUGGCGGUAAUGAAACAAAGCAGCAUCUGACUUACAUUUCAAAAUGUCUACUGGAGGGCUUUUCCAAACCAUAUGCCCAUCACCCUCCAUGCCACCAGAGUCCCUCUAAGACAAUGGUCUACACAUUGUGCUGCUUCCAUUGAGUCAAGAAAGAGGACUCAAUUACAAGCUGAACUGGUUGGGAAUGAUUGUUAUUCUAAAGCACGUCAUCUCGAGUUCUCCAGAGCGCCCAGAGAAGCUUCCAUACCAUAUCAAUGACGUCCAACGAGCAACUCUGAAUUGCUAUAU